CCACAAGCUACAUGACACUACGUACAUCGCCGUGUUGCCUUAAAAAACGUGUGUUUGUUUUUUUUUGUUUUGUUUUCUUAUAAACAUAACCACAACUGACUCACUGACUCGGGGUGAAGUCUAAACUGCAAACCUGCGGCCUUCACCGCGCACCUGUCGGCCAGAUAAAUUACCUGGACGCACAGUGGCACCUCUCAAGCGGUAUAUCAGGCAACGAGUGAACGGUCGGUUCUCAAAGUUGACGUGUUGGAAGAAGGAAAAAUGGGUGAGCGUAAGGAUCUGAGCGGCUUUGACAAGGUCCAGAUUGCGAUGGCGAGACGACCGGGUCAGAGCAUCUCCAAAACGGCAGGUCUUGUGGGGUGUUCCCGGUAUGCAGGGGUUACUACCUAUGAAAAGUGGUCCAAGGAAGGACAAGCGUUGAACUGGUGACAGGGUCAUGGACACCCAAGGCUCAUUGACGUGCGUGUUGAGCGAAGGCUAGCCCGUCUGAUCCGAUCACACAGAAGAGCUACUGUAGCACAAACUGCUGAAAAAGUUAACGCUGGCUCUGAUAGAAAGGAGCCAGGACAUCACAGCUUGCUGCGUACAAGUCCCCCGUAUUAAGUCUAAUCUGGUUUCCGUACGAGAUGACCAGGAGCAUCGUUAUGUUACAUUUGACCAGGAGCGAAC